AUCCAGUUGACGAGUCCCAAAUAAGAUGAAAUGCGCAUCUUGGAU
rnacentral:hammerhead_ribozyme from 1 species